rnacentral:rRNA from 1 species
UACGUAGGGUGCAAGCGUUUGUCCGGAUUUAUUGGGCGUAAAGAGCUCGUAGGCGGUUUGGCAAGUCGGGUGUGAAACCUCCAGGCUCAACCUGGAGACGCCACUCGAUACUGCUAUGACUUGAGUCUGGUAGGGGAUCACGGAAUUCCUGGUGUAGCGGUGAAAUCAUAGAUAUCAGGAGGAACACCGGUGGCGAAGGCGGUGAUCUGGGCCAGUACUGACGCUGAGGAGCGAAAGCGUGGGGAGCGAACAGG